rnacentral:rRNA from 1 species
CUUUUUGCAGAUCGUACGGACCUGUUCCGACGACAAAUCCAUCGAAGGUGUGCCCUAUCAACUGUCGACUGUGGUAUAGACGUCCACAGUGGUUUUGACGGGUAACGGGGAAUUAGGGUUCGAUUCCGGAGAGGGAGCCUGAGAAACGGCUACCACUUCUAAGGAAGGCAGCAGGCACGCAAAUUACCCAAUGGUCGAAGACCGAGGUAGUGACGAAAAAUAACGAUACCGGACUCAUCCGAGGCCCGGUAAUCGGAAUGAGUACACUUUAAAUCCUUUAACGAGGAACAAUUGGAGGGCAAGUCUGGUGCCAGCAGCCGCGGUAAUUCCAGCUCCAAUAGCGUAUAUUAAAGUUGUUGCGGUUAAAAAGCUCGUAGUUGGAUCUCGGCAGGUAGGGGGCGGUUCGUUUCUGACGGCACUGCCCCAUUUACCUGUGUUUUUGACGGAGGUCUCAAGGUGGCUUUAAACGGCUGUCUUGGUACGCCGUCAGGUUUACUUUGAAAAAAUUAGAGUGCUCAAAGCAGGCUACAAAGCUUGAAUAUUUGUGCAUGGAAUAAUGGAAUAGGAAGUCGUUUCUAUUUUUUUUGUUUUCGGAAAUUGACUUAAUGAUUAAUAGGGACAGCCGGGGGCAUUAGUACUCAGACGACAGAGGUGAAAUUCUUGGACCGUUUGAGGACUAACUACUGCGAAAGCAUUUGCCAAGAGUGUUUUCAUUAAUCAAGAACGAAAGUUAGAGGUUCGAAGGCGAUCAGAUACCGCCCUAGUUCUAACCAUAAACGAUGCUGACUAGCGAUCCGUAGCUGUUUUCUAUGUAGGCUCUACGGGAAGCUUCCGGGAAACCAAAGUUUUUGAGUUCCGGGGGAAGUAUGGUUGCAAAGCUGAAACUUAAAGGAAUUGACGGAAGGGCACCACCAGGAGUGGAGCCUGCGGCUUAAUUUGACUCAACACGGGAAAUCUCACCAGGCCCGGACACUGGAAGGAUUGACAGAUUGAGAGCUCUUUCUCGAUUCAGUGGGUGGUGGUGCAUGGCCGUUCUUAGUUGGUGGAGUGAUUUGUCUGGUUAAUUCCGAUAACGAACGAGACUCUGUCCUGCUAAAUAGGUUUGCCGUCUCUUUUGCGGUAAACAUUCUUCUUAGAGGGACUGGCGGCGUCUAGCCGCACGAGAUUGAGCAAUAACAGGUCUGUGAUGCCCUUAGAUGUUCUGGGCUGCACACGCGCUACACUGAAUGGAUCAGCGUGUUUUCCCUUCCCGAGAGGGACGGGUAACCCGCUGAACCCCAU